rnacentral:rRNA from 1 species
CACCCAGGACGGUGGAUCACUCGGCUCGUGGGUCGAUGAAGAACGCAGCAAAUUGCGCGUCGACAUGUGAACUGCAGGACACAUGAACAUCGACGUUUCGAACGCACAUUGCGGUCCAUGGAUUCCGUUAACGGGCCUCGUCUGGCUGAGGGUCG